CCUACGGGUGGCAGCAGUGAGGAAUAUUGGUCAAUGGACGAGAGUCUGAACCAGCCAAGUAGCGUGAAGGAUGACUGCCCUAUGGGUUGUAAACUUCUUUUAUAAAGGAAGAAAACGAGGCACGUGUGCCUUUUUGCAUGUACUGUAUGAAUAAGGAUCGGCUAACUCCGUGCCAGCAGCCGCGGUAAUACGGAGGAGCCGAGCGUUCUCCGGAUUUAGUGGGGUUAAAGGGAGCGUAGAGGGGUUGUGAAGUCAGUUGUGAAAGUUUGCGGCUCAACCGUAAAAUUGCAAUUGAUACUGGCAGUCUUGAGUACCGUUGAGGUAGGCGGCAUUCGUGUUGUAGCGG
rnacentral:rRNA from 1 species